rnacentral:rRNA from 1 species
GACGAACGCUGGCGGCGUGCCUAAUACAUGCAAGUUGAGCGCUGAAGGUUGGUACUUGUACCAACUGGAUGAGCAGCGAACGGGUGAGUAACGCGUGGGGAAUCUGCCUUUGAGCGGGGGACAACAUUUGGAAACGAAUGCUAAUACCGCAUAAAAACUUUAAACACAAGUUUUAAGUUUGAAAUAUGCAAUUGCAUCACUCAAAGAUGAUCCCUCUUUGUAUUAGCUAGUUGGUGAGGUAAAGGCUCACCAAGGCGAUGAUACAUAGCCGACCUCAGAGGGUAAUCGGCCACAUUGGGACUGAGACACGGCCCAAACUCCUACGAGAGGCAGCAGUAGGGAAUAUUCGGCAAUGGACGAAAGUCUGACCGAGCAACGCCGCGUGAGUGAAGAAGGUUUUCGGAUCGUAAAACUCUGUUGGUAGAGAAGAACGUUGGUGAGAGUGGAAAGCUCAUCAAGUGACGGUAACUACCCAGAAAGGGACGGCUAACUCCGUG